GCUUACGGCCAUACCGCGCUGAGCACGGCCCGCUCUCGUCUGAUCUCGGAAGCUAAGCAGCGCAGGGCCCGGUUAGUACUUGGAUGGGAGACCGCCUGGGAAUACCGGGUGCUGUAAGCG